AGAGAGAGACAUGCGCGCAUAUCAAUAAGCGGAGGAAAAGAAACUAACUAGGAUUCCCUCAGUAACGGCGAGUGAAGCGGGAAGAGCUCAAAUUUGAAAUCUUCAAGGUUCUACCUUGACGAAUUGUAGUUUAAAGAAGUGUUUUCUGUUGGAGUUUUGGUAAAAGUUCUUUGGAAUAGGACAUCAUAGAGGGUGAGAAUCCCGUAUUUGACCAUUAUUUCCAGCUUUGUGAUACACUUUCAAAGAGUCGGAUUGUUUGGGAAUGCAGUCCAAAAUGGGUGGUAAAUUUCAUCUAAAGCUAAAUAUUGGCGAGAGACCGAUAGCGAACAAGUACCGUGAGGGAAAGAUGAAAAGAACUUUGAAAAGAGAGUUAAACAGUACGUGAAAUUGUCAAAAGGGAAGCGUUUGACACCAGUGUUGUUUUCUCGAAAAUCAAUUAAAAAAGGCAGGAUUUUGUGUUGUAUUGACUUUAUCAGCUUUCUGCACUCUUUUCUUGUCUUUUUUUAAUGCACUUUUCGUUUAACAAGUCAGCAUCAAUUUCUUUUGUUGUAAAAGGGUCAUUGGAAGGUGGCUUUCUUUUCGGAGAAAGUGUUUAUAGCCUUUGGCCUCUGCAAUCGGAGAGAUUGAGGUCUGCAGCGUAGAUCCUUCGGGGUUAGAUACAUUUGUGCUAAGUUAUAGCCUUUCAUAGACAACUUGUUGACUAUGAUCAGUCAUGUAGCUUACUCGCUUAUGCUAUUUUACCUACGCUUAGGAUGUUGAUGUGAUACUGCGAGCA
rnacentral:rRNA from 1 species